UGUUCUGUAGCUCCGUUGGUUGAGGCGCCGGACUAGCGAUGCGGAGUCGGGGGUUCGAUUCCCAUCCGAACAA
rnacentral:tRNA from 1 species